rnacentral:rRNA from 1 species
UUUAAUGGCCGCAGUAAUUUAACUGUGCGAAGGUAGCAUAAUCAAUAGUUUUUUAAUUGAAAGCUUGUAUGAAAGGUUGGACGAGAUAAUAUCUGUCUUUAUUAUAAUUAUAUUAGAAUUUAAUUUUUAAGUUAAAAAGCUUAAAUUUUUUUAAAAGACGAGAAGACCCUAUAGAGUUUUAUAAUUUAGAAUUUAUAAUUAUUUUAGAUUAAUUAAUUUUAUAGACUUAUAUUUAUUUUAUUGGGGUAAUAGAAAGAUUUAUAUAAUUCUUUUUUUUUAUAUUAUUUAUUUAUAUAUGUAUGAUCCUUUAUUAAAGAUUAUAAGAUUAAAUUACCUUAGGGAUAACAGCGUAAUUUUUUUUGAAAGUUCUUAUUGAUAAAAAAGAUUGCGACCUCGAUGUUGGAUUAAAGAUUAAUUUAGGUGCAAAAGUUUAAAUUUUUGGUCUGUUCGACCAUUAAAUCUUUACAUGAUCUGAGUUCAGACCGGUGUGAGCCAGGUCGGUUUCUAUCUUUAUUUAUUUAAAAUAUUUUAGUACGAAAGGACCAAAUAUUUAUUAUAUUAAUUUAUAUUUUGAAUAUUAUU